rnacentral:rRNA from 1 species
GACGAACGCUGGCGGCGUGCUUAACACAUGCAAGUCGAACGGACAGGCCUGCUUUCCCUUGUGGUUUGCGUGUACUCGGGUGGCUAACGGACGCGUAACACGUGUGUGUUCUGCCCCCAACUAGCUUCUAAGCCUGGGAAACUGUGUCUAAUUCUCGAUAGGACUGCAGGGUUGUGCCUGUGGUGGAAAACGUUUUUCUAGUGGUUGGGGAUGAGCUGGCGGAUUAUCAGCUUGUUGGGGGGGUGAUGUACUACCAAGGCGGCGACGGGUAGCCGGCCUGGGAGGGUGGACGGCCACAUUGGGACAGGGAUACGGCCCAGACGCCUACGGGAGGCAGCAAUGGGGAAUAAUGCACAGUGGGCGGAAGCCUGAUGCAGCGACGCCGCGUGGGAGAUGACGGCCUUCGGGUUGUCAACUCCUUGCGACCGCGAGGAAGCCACCUGGUUGGAAGGGUGGUGACGGUAGUGGUAGAAGAAGCACCGGCUAACUACGUG